rnacentral:rRNA from 1 species
CUAAAGUUAGUGGCGAACGGGUGAGUAAAGUAUCGGAACGUACCAUUCAGUGGGGGAUAACGCAGCGAAAGUUGCGCUAAUACCGCAUAUUCUGUGAGCAGGAAAGCAGGGGAUCGCAAGACCUUGCGCUGAUUGAGCGGCCGAUAUCAGAUUAGCUAGUUGGCGGGGUAAUAGCCCACCAAGGCAACGAUCUGUAGCGGGUCUGAGAGGAUGAUCCGCCACACUGGGACUGAGACACGGCCCAGACUCC